rnacentral:rRNA from 1 species
AUUGAACGCUGGCGGCAGGCCUAACACAUGCAAGUCGAGCGAGCGGCGGACGGGUGAGUAAUGUAUGGGGACUUCCCGCUAGGGGGGGGUAACUACUGGAAACGGUAGCCAAUACCGCAUACUGUCGGAUGACACAUAUGGGAUUAGCUAGUAGGUGAGGUAAUGGCUCACAUAGGCGACGAUCCCUAGCUGGUCUGGGAGGAUGAGCGGCCACACGGGGACUGAGACACGGCCCAGACCCCGACGGAGGCAGCAGUGGGGAAGAUUGCACAAUGGGCGCAAGCCUGAUGCAGCCAUGCCGCGUGUAUGAAGAAGGCCCUAGGGUUGUAAAGUACUUUCAGUCGGGAGGCGUUACCGACAGAAGAAGCACCGGCUAACUCCGUGCCAGCAGCCGCGGUAAUAC